rnacentral:rRNA from 1 species
GACAGAGGAUGCAAGCGUUAUCCGGAAUCAUUGGGCGUAAAGCGCGCGUAGGUGGCUUCGUAAGUCCGUUGUGAAAGUCAAAGGCUCAACCUUUGAAAGCCGAUGGAUACUGCGGAGCUAGAGUACGGAAGAGGCGAGUGGAAUUCCUGGUGUAGCGGUGGAAUGCGCAGAUAUCAGGAGGAACACCAAUAGCGAAGGCAGCUCGCUGGGACGUUACUGACACUGAGGCGCGAAAGCGUGGGGAGCGAACAGG